GAAAUGCGAUAAGUAAUGUGAAUUGCAGAAUUCAGUGAAUCAUCUAAUCUUUGAACGCACCUUGCGCUCCUUGGUAUUCCUUGGAGCAUGCCUGUUUGAGUAUCAUGAAAUCUUCAAAGUAAAUCUUUUGUUAACUCAAUUGGUUUCUACUUUGGUAUUGGAGGUCUUUGCAGCUUCACACCUGCUCCUCUUUGUUCAUUAGCUGGAUCUCAGUGUUAUGCUUGGUUCCACUCGGCGUGAUAAGUUAUCUAUCGCUGAGGACACUGUAAAAGGUGGCCAAGGUAAAUGCAGAUGAACCGCUUCUAAUAGUCCAUGGACUUGGACAAUACUUUUAUGAUCUGAUCUCAAAUCAGGUAGGACUACCCGCUGAACUUAAGC
rnacentral:misc_RNA from 1 species